AUUGAACGCUGGCGGCAUGCUUUACACAUGCAAGUCGAACGGUAACAGGCCGCAAGGUGCUGACGAGUGGCGAACGGGUGAGUAAUGCAUCGGAACGUGCCCAGUCGGGGGGGAUAACGCAGCGAAAGUUGCGCUAAUACCGCAUACGAUCUAUGGAUGAAAGCGGGGGACCGUAAGGCCUCGUGCGCUUGGAGAGGCCGAUGUCAGAUUAGGUAGUUGGUGGGGUAAAGGCUCACCAAGCCGACGAUCUGUAGCUGGUCUGAGAGGACGACCAGCCACACUGGGACUGAGGCACGGCCCAGACUCCUACGGGAGGCAGCAGUGGGGAAUUUUGGACAAUGGGCGCAAGCCUGAUCCAGCAAUGCCGCGUGCAGGAAGAAGGCCUUCGGGUUGUAAACUGCUUUUGUACGGAACGAAACGGUCCUGGUUAAUACCCGGGGCUAAUGACGGUACCGUAAGAAUAAGCACCGGCUAACUACGUGCCAGCCGCCGCGGUAACAC
rnacentral:rRNA from 1 species